GUGCUAAGGUAGCAUAAUCAUUUGUUUCUUAAUUGGUAGCUGGAAUGAACGGUCGAACUGGUUUAGUAAGUGUGUGUACUUAAAUAUAAGAUUAAAGUCAAGGUAAGAAUUCUUUGAUAGUUUAGGGGACGAUAAGACCCUAUAAGCUUAAUAAAUAUAAAGGUGAUUUUGUUUUUCUAGUUAGUUUAUUUUACUGGGGCGGUACUAAUGUUUUAACUAUUAGCUAAUAUAAGAUCCUUUAGAUACAGAUGAAACGGAAAAGUUACUUUAGGGAUAACAGUGCAAUAUUUUUGGAGAGAUCUUAUCGAUAAAUAUGUUUGCAACCUCGAUGUUGAAUUA
rnacentral:rRNA from 1 species